rnacentral:rRNA from 1 species
GACGAACGCUGGCGGCGUGCCUAAUACAUGCAAGUCGAGCGAUGAUUAAAGAUAGCUUGCUAUUUUUAUGAAGAGCGGCGAACGGGUGAGUAACGCGUGGGAAAUCUGCCGAGUAGUGGGGGACAACGUUUGGAAACGAACGCUAAUACCGCAUAACAAUGAGAAUCGCAUGUUUCUUAUUUAAAAGAAGCAAUUGCUUCACUACUUGAUGAUCCCGCGUUGUAUUAGCUAGUUGGUAGUGUAAAGGACUACCAAGGCGAUGAUACAUAGCCGGCCUGAGAGGGUGAUCGGCCACACUGGGACUGAGACACGGCCCAGACUCCUACGGGAGGCAGCAGUAGGGAAUCUUCGGCAAUGGGGGCAACCCUGACCGAGCAACGCCGCGUGAGUGAAGAAGGUUUUCGGAUCGUAAAACUCUGUUGUUAGAGAAGAACGUUAAGUAGAGUGGAAAAUUACUUAAGUGACGGUAUCUAACCAGAAAGGGACGGCUAACUACGUGCCAGCCGCCGCAGUAA